ACUGGUUAAGAAAUGCGUCAAUAGCUGGAAAAGAACCCAUCUUGUUAAAGAAAGUGGACGAAUUGAUUUAGU